UAAAUGCCAGCACAUCAUACACCAGGAGGAGUGAUCCUUAGAUACUGAAUCCCUGUGAAAAUCCUCCUCCUUGUCUCCAGCCUGCCUUGACUCCCAGUAUCUGUUUUUUGUCAGUCUCUAACUCCCUGUCUCUUGGCCUUGAUGUGAGGCCUCCCAUUCUGAUAAUAAAAGUUACUGAUGCAUGGCUUUAGGACCAUGCUGUGUAAUUAACAUACUGGUAUAGCACGAGGAGUGCACCAAGCAGGGCUAGGUGGUAGAUAAGACAAGGGUUUGUUUAUUGGCUAAGGUUUCCGAUGCACGAGGGCAACAUGCUUUGCUAAAAAGUAUAUAACCUUUGUAUAAUCUGUAUUCAGGGUGCCCCCCUGGCUAGCAGGGGGGCACCACGCUCGAGUGUAAUAAACUUAGUGUCUUUUGGGAACUCUGCAGUUGUGGACUUUGUUUCUGUGCCUCAGCCUAGAUUCGAACUGUGCAUGACCUAUCAGGUAUAAUUUGCAGCAUUGGUGUGCGUGUCCUAUCAGGUGUAAUUCAUAGCAUUGGUGUGCGUGUCCUACAAGGUAUAAUUUGUAGCAGUUGUAUGCGUGUCCUACCAGGUGUAAUUCGUAACAGUUUUGGCGACCACGAAGGGACUGUAGGCUCGCCCCAACAAGCGAGACUACACUCCUCCUCUCGGACAGCUCCAGCCGGCACAGGGCUGGCAGAGUGUUCGUGAGACGGCGAGGUGAGCAGAGCUGUUCGUGAGACGGCGAGCUGUGCAGAGCGGAGCCGGUCGUGGUGGAGCGGAGCUGUUCGUGAGACAGCGGUCUGUUCGUGAGAUGGCGAGCUGUGCAGAGUGGAGCCGGUCGUGGUAGAGCGGAGCCGGUCAUGAGACAGCGGUGUGUUCAUGAGACGGCGAGCUGAGCAGAGCUGUUCGUGAGACGGCGAGCUGUGCAGAGCGGAGCCGGUCGUGGUGGAGCGGAGCUGUUCGUGAGACGGCGUAGCAGAGCAGAGCCCUGUGGGGCAGUCAGCUUCAGGACACGUAAGGUGCCCCUUACCUCUUUCUCCCACACACAGUACACAGGCACAUUUUAGCCAGACUGGGGAGUAAUACUAUGCAGAUGAACUUUUGAACUCCGGGGCUGGACUUUUUGGACUUUGGGUGAUUUGUGGAUUGCUGGACUCAAGAGGCGUUUGGGUUCUGGGACUCAAGAACCUGAGGGAAAGGAUGUGGCCCAAUUUUCUGGGGUGGGUCUUUGCUCAUGGUUUGGUUAAUGAACAUUAGUUGUGGUAUUUCCCCAAUUUAAUGCUGAUGUCAUUACCUCAUGUUAUUAAAGAUUCUCUGCUACACCGAGACUCUGUGCUUGUGAGAGGGGAAGUAUUGCCUCUUCGAGGCGCCCAGGGGGUGUGUAAGAUUUUUCCAGGUCACUGGGUGGGGGCUCGAGCCAGUUUUGCGUUUGCUUUGAUGAGAGGGAACCCCUGUGUACUAAACCCGGCCCUUGCUGCUAUCAACUUGGCCUGGCAGAAGGGUUACACAGGUAAAAGAAGUCCUGCUUCAAGAAUCCUGAGCAAACCUGCCAUUUGUUAAAACCAGGUGACUGGGUCUACAUAAAGGUCCAUCAACAAAAGACUACUCUGGCCCCAUGCUAAAAAGGCCCUUAUUAAGUCCUGCUAACUACCAACACUGCUGUGAAGUGCCAAGGACUGACUGCCUAGACCCAUGCUUCUUACUGCAAAAAGACUCCUCCACCUCGAGGUGACUUCACUUCGACUACUGAUCAGCCUGUCCCUCCUUCUGGGUUUUUUUUCUUUCCUCCUUUUGAACAGCAAAAAAAAAAAAAAAAACAAGGUGAAGUGCUAGUAACCUCUCCCUUGUCCACUGACAAAGCUAACCUGCAUUCAGUAUUUGCUAAAAAAAACCCCAAAGCACUACAGGGUGACGUGUUAGUAACCUCUCCCCUGAAUAAUGCAAAACCAUGACUGUUCCAAAAAAAAAAAAAAAAAAAAAAAAAAGAAA